rnacentral:rRNA from 1 species
UACAGAGGGUGCGAGCGUUAAUCGGAAUUACUGGGCGUAAAGCGUGCGUAGACGGUUACAUAAGUCGGGUGUGAAAGCCCCGGGCUCAACCUGGGAAUUGCAUUCGAUACUGCGUAGCUAGGGUGCGGAAGAGGGAAGCGGAAUUUCCGGUGUAGCGGUGAAAUGCGUAGAUAUCGGAAGGAACACCUGUGGCGAAAGCGGCUCACUGGACCAUUACUGACGCUGAGGCGCGAAAGCUAGGGGAGCAAACAGG